UUCACCAUCAAGGUGAAGAAGCAACAGAGCCAGUGAUUACAAUUAAAGUAAAUUGAGCAUGGCGUGUUAAUGGAAAGGAAAUUGAGCCUCUAAAAUUCUGAAUUAAAUCUGGAAUCUUGAUCCAGGCCAAGUCUAGUUUCUAGAGCUAUAGUGAAACAGAUUGAAUGCAGGCUCAACCAGCAAAUUUAAACAAAAGAAAUCCUUUUGCUAAAACAGAGAAGAGUCUAACCUGACCUUGCAAUCAGAAACUAGCAUUUCAAUUUUCCAAUAUUACAAACUAACCAAAGAUUUAGGUGGCUUAUGCAACGAGUGUCCUGAAUUAUGUCAACUCCAGGAGAAAUUUUACAAAAGCAAUACAAUUCUGUAUCAUCUCCAAUGAUUCUGCGCCUCCAAUUAGUACAAGAACAGAACAGGUAAUGAGUGUAGAUUGAUGUCAGUCCAUUAGCAUUCAAAGCUAGACAUUGCCCAUUUGAGGCUUUUAGCUUUGCCAAGAUGGACUGAGAUAGAAAUAACAGCAAGCCAUAAACAAAAAGUUACAAUCAACCCUAUAAAUAACAGUACAUUUUAUGUAUCAUCUCCAAUGAUUCUGAACUACCAUUGAGUACAAGGUGGACAGAACAGGUAAUGAGAGUAGAUUGAUGUGAGUCCAUUAGCAUUCAAAACUAGACAUUGCCCAUCUGAGGCUUUUAGCUUUGCCAAGAUGGACUAAGGUAGAAAUAACAGCAAGCCAUAAACGAAAAGUUACAAUCAACCCUAUAAAUACAUUCACCAAGGAAAUAACUACACAGUUCAUCUUUAAACACUUAGCAAUGCUGUAGCAAUCAUGUUUCAUCUCCACUGAUCUGCAUCUCCAUUGAAUAUAAAGCACAGAACAGUCUAGAGAGAACAAAUUGAUUUUAGUCCAUUAGCAUUCAAAGCUAAACAUUGCCCAUCUGAGGCUUUUAGCUUUGCCAAGAUGGACUAAGAUAGAAAUAACAGCAAGCCAUAAACGAAAAGUUACAACCAACCCUAAAAAUACAUUCACCAAGGAAAUAACCACACAGUUCAUCUUUAAACACUUAGCAAUGCUGUAGCAAUCAUGUUUCAUCUCCACUGAUCCGCAUCUCCAUUGAAUAUAAAGCACAGAACAGUCUAGAGAGAACAAAUUGAUUUUAGUCCAUUAGCAUUCAAAGCUAAACAUUGCCCAUCUGAGGCUUUUAGCUUUGCCAAGAUGGACUAAGAUAGAAAUAACAGCAAGCAAUAAACGAAAAGUUACAACCAACCCUAAAAAUACAUUCACCAAGGAAAUAACCACACAGUUCAUCUUUAAACACUUAGCAAUGCUGUAGCAAUCAUGUUUCAUCUCCACUGAUCCGCAUCUCCAUUGAAUAUAAAGCACAGAACAGUCUAGAGAGAACAAAUUGAUUUUAGUCCAUUAGCAUUCAAAGCUAAACAUUGCCCAUAGGACUCUUUAGCUUU
rnacentral:lncRNA from 1 species